rnacentral:rRNA from 1 species
GAUGAACGCUGGCGGCGUGCUUAACACAUGCAAGUCGAACGGAAAGGCCCAAGCUUGCUUGGGUACUCGAGUGGCGAACGGGUGAGUAACACGUGGGUGAUCUGCCCUGCACUUCGGGAUAAGCCUGGGAAACUGGGUCUAAUACCGGAUAGGACCACUUCUUGGAUGUUGUGGUGGAAAGUUUUUUCGGUGUGGGAUGAGCUCGCGGCCUAUCAGCUUGUUGGUGGGGUAAUGGCCUACCAAGGCGUCGACGGGUAGCCGGCCUGAGAGGGUGUACGGCCACAUUGGGACUGAGAUACGGCCCAGACUCCUACGGGAGGCAGCAGUGGGGAAUAUUGCACAAUGGGCGCAAGCCUGAUGCAGCGACGCCGCGUGGGGGAUGACGGCCUUCGGGUUGUAAAAUCCUUUCGCUAGGGACGAAGCGUUUUGUGACGGUACCUGGAGAAGAAGCACCGGCUAACUACGUG